rnacentral:rRNA from 1 species
CGGGUGAGUGUAAUGUGGGAAUCUGCCUUUUGGUUUGGAAUAACACGGGGAAACUUGUGCUAAUACCGAAUAAGCCCUUACGGGGAAAGUUUUAAUGCCAAAAGAUGAGCCCGCACUUGAUUAGCUAGUUGGUAAGGUAAAAGCUUACCAAGGCUACGAUCAAUAGCUGUUCUUAGAGGAAGACCAGCCACAUUGGGACUGAGACACGGCCCAGACUCCUACGGGAGGCAGCAGUGGGGAAUCUUGCACAAUGGGGGAAACCCUGAUGCAGCGAUGCCGCGUGAGUGAAGAAGGCCUUUGGGUUGUAAAACUCUUUCGUCGGGGAAGAAAAUGACUGUACCCGAAUAAGAAGGUCCGGCUAACUUCGUGCCAGCAGCCGCGGUAAUACGAAGGGACCUAGCGUAGUUCGGAAUUACUGGGCUUAAAGAGCUCGUAGGUGGUUAAAAAAGUUGAUGGUGAAAUCCCAAGGCUCAACCUUGGAACUGCCAUCAAAACUUUUUA